rnacentral:rRNA from 1 species
UGGGGAAUCUUGGACAAUGGGCGCAAGCCUGAUCCAGCCAUGCCGCGUGGGUGAAGAAGGCCUUAGGGUUGUAAAGCCCUUUCGGUGGUGAAGAUAAUGACGGUACCCGUGGAGGAAGCACCGGCUAACUCUGUGCCAGCAGCCGCGGUAAUACAGAGGGUGCAAACGUUGCUCGGAAUGACUGGGCGUAAAGCGCGCGCAGGUGGCCCGUUAAGUCGGCUGUGAAAUCCCCUGGCUCAACCAGGGAAGUGCAGUCGAUACUGGCGGGCUCGAGUCCCGGAGAGGGUGGUAGAAUUCCCAGUGUAGAGGUGAAAUUCGUAGAUAUUGGGAGGAAUACCGGUGGCGAAGGCGACCGCCUGGACGGGUACUGACACUGAGGCGCGAAAGCGUGGGGAGCAAACAGGAUUAGAUACCCGCGUAGUCC